rnacentral:rRNA from 1 species
GAUGAACGCUGGCGGCGUGCCUAAUACAUGCAAGUCGAGCGAACGGACGAGAAGCUUGCUUCUCUGAUGUUAGCGGCGGACGGGUGAGUAACACGUGGAUAACCUACCUAUAAGACUGGGAUAACUUCGGGAAACCGGAGCUAAUACCGGAUAAUAUUUUGAACCGCAUGGUUCAAAAGUGAAAGACGGUCUUGCUGUCACCUAUAGAUGGAUCCGCGCUGCAUUAGCUAGUUGGUAAGGUAACGGCUUACCAAGGCAACGAUGCAUAGCCGACCUGAGAGGGUGAUCGGCCACCCUGGAACUGAGACACGGUCCAGACUCCUACGGGAGGCAGCAGUAGGGAAUCUUCCGCAAUGGGCGAAAGCCUGACGGAGCAACGCCGCGUGAGUGAUGAAGGUCUUCGGAUCGUAAAACUCUGUUAUUAGGGAAGAACAUAUGUGUAAGUAACUGUGCACAUCUUGACGGUACCUAAUCAGAAAGCCACGGCUAACUACGUG